rnacentral:rRNA from 10 species
AUUAAUGGCCAUACCACCCUGAACACAACCGAUCUCGUUUGAUCUUGGAAGCUAAGCAGGGUCGGGCCGGGAUAGUACUGGCGAGGCGCGGUGGCUCAUGCCUAUAAUC